CCCGCCGCGGCCCGGGUCCCCGCGGCGGCCGGCGGCACCCGGCCCUGCGCCGUCUGCCACCGCAGCCGUUCGCGCGGUUAUUUCACCUUCCUGCCAAACUGCUGCCGCAGCUGUGCAGCGAAGGUUCUUUUUUGACCCCUCUGCGUGUGCGGGUUACGUCUGGCACUGACUGCAGCGUGGAUCGGAGCCUUAGAAGAUGCAAUGCAUAACAGCAAUGGGCCAAAUCCAAUCCACCCAGUCCUGGAUGAAUGAUGAUGAAUGACAGGAGCUCAGCCUUGGGAUGCUGUGGAAAAACUGCUGAGAAUCAUCUGGCCUUCAGACUCAUUGCCCUUUGCUGUUCAUCCAUGUUGCUACAAAUGACAAUGCUGGGGACAUCCUGAGUGCACUGAGAAUGACUACAGGGUGUGAAGGCUGAGCAGGCUCAAGUGAUGUUCUCCUCAAUCUUGCUGGCAACAGGAAAGGCUCAGUUAGGAGUGGGUGCUUCCUGCAGGUGUGUGGCUGAUUAUCAUAUUCUUCUAUUAAGGCUAGUUUGUACCAUCUGACUAACACUGAAGUAUAUGUAUUUGUUAGUACAUAAGUAAUUUUACGCUCGCUUCACAUUAUCAGAGACUCCAAAGUGGCUCUUGGUAAAUAAUCAUGACCAAGGUGUACAGAUGGAUGUACAAGACAACUUUGUGGAGAAUGCAAUGUCAUCCAUGUGCACACCAGUGACAUGUCAAACUCAAAGAAAAUUUAGCAUAAGAUAAAAAUGCCCAAGAGUAUGGCAACAAGGCAGACUCGGAUUUAUGGAAGCACUAAGGUAACCACAGAGGCCAGUUGGGUGCUGAUAUUCACCCAUUUUCAUGUCAGGAGAGUAAAGAAGAUUGUUUUUCCAUCACACACUUUCUUAGAAAUAAAAUAAAAUAAAAAAAAAGAACACAAAGAGCUCUUUGGAAGGUGACAGGUGAGAGGGGAAAGGGAAGUAGCAAAAGAGCCUGGAAAAGGUGAAUCUACUAAACCUGCCACUUGAGUCCUGAUAGAACUGAAGGAAUCAUUUGGCCAACAGACAUCUAUGGAAAUGCUACUCUGAGUAAAGAAAUUAAUAUCCUAGUGUGCCAAGGAUUUCCAAGCACCUGGAAACACUUCUGCCUAAUGCAGCUUUUUCUUACGAAGAAAUAUUACAAAAAAAAAAAAAAAAAAAAAAAAAAAGCAAAACUUAAGAAGAAAGGCAAUAAAGCCCAAUUAUACCGAUUUGUUGCUGCUUACUUCCUCCAGGGUAGGAGAGAGAGAGGUGCUUACGAAUACUAGAUAGAUGUAAAGAGCUAAAUACUUCUAAUUUCUGGUAGCAGGCACAUGGGAGAAUUCACACUUUCAGCAAGCAGGGUCCCAUGGUAGUGCAACUGAAAUGUUGACUGCAAUUACAUGUAGCUAGCUGUGGACUGGUUAAUGCAAAUGCUUUUGGCCAGUGGUUUCAGCCAUUCCUCAUGCUGUCCUUCUCUUCCUCUACUUAGAAAAAAAAGAAUUGAGUUGCUAUACUUGUCUGAGAAAUGAUGAGUAAGGUGGUAGAAGUGAUCAGGGAAUUUACUGCUGCUGUCAAUUACAAAACUUGGCACAUCCAGCCUGAAGUGACUUGCUCUUAAAUCUACACAUGCACAAACACAAGCUGAAUCAAAAUGAGAUUCAUGCUUGCAAAGGGUACGGGAAACUAGUGAAUGAUACAGUCAGCUUCUGGCUCUGUGACACCAUCCUCUAAUAUCCUAGAGAAAUGAACUCCAGUUCCAUUAACUUCUGCAUAGUUCAAUACGGUAUACUUUAAUUUUUUGUCUGAAAACGUUGUGUAUGCUUAACCAGCUACGCCAUUCCACUCCUCAGAGAUGUUUGCAUUUCACUGGUGCAUGAGGUGAUCUCUAUUUAUAGUUUAUAUAUAAGUUUGGGCAGCCUUUGGAAGGCUUAGGGAAGAUGGUGCUCCAACCAAAACAGCUAAUAAUAAAUGGAUUCAAAUGAGUGAUUUUAAUGGGGAGUGCGCACUACUAACGACAAAAGAACUUACUGUUGCACAACUCUAAGAAAGGCAUUAAUGUCCCCACUCUUUCUGUCCUCUUUUCCUAAUAGAUUUCUAAUCUACCUACGUAACCACUUUGUAUACAGAGACUCAUUUCUCUAGCUUCUUCGUUACUGUUCUAGAUAUAUCAGGCAGGUCAGCUACACAGCACUGAAUGUGAACAACUCUCAUCCACAGCAAGCCAAGUCAAAAUUACAUUUGUAGUCAGUUUUUAUAUAGUCAUGACUACCUUAAUAUCAAAUAGUAAAAUAGUAUUUGCCUGUCUUCUCCUCCUCGGCAAGGGGGAAAAAAAAAGAGAGAGACAUUGGACAGAUGAUAACACUGAAAAUUUGCACUUAUGGACACAACUACCUGAAAUCUAAGAAUCUGAGAAUCUGCACUUGGUCUUGCAGAUGGAGAAAUUGAAGGACUGAAAAAAAAGCAACUUGCCUAAAGUAAACAUCUAAGGGAGCUGCAUGAGUUUCUGGAACUGCUGCUAAUACUCAGUCCUUCGCACUUAACUACAGAAAAUGGCAGUGUCUUAAUUAUGAAAUAGGAAAUAAAAUUUUCUCUUCGGGUAAACGUGAGUGCAUUCUUAAAUUAUAACAUUACUGGAUGGUUAUGAUAGUCUUUCGUUUCUUAUUCUGAAGCCCUCAUACAAGGAAGAACUUCUUUUACUGGGACCGACUGCAUUUUGCUUACCGUUGUGAAAUGAACUACGCAAUAGAUUCCAAUGAUGACAAGGCCAAUGAUAAUUGAUGCGACAGCAACCCAGAGCGCGUUGCGACCCAGUCUUUUUGACCCUUCUAUAUCUCCUUGAUUAUAACUGUUUAAAGCCUGCAGAAGAGAAACAGAGUGUUUGUGACUAUUGUUAACACAAAUCACUACACAAAGCAAUGUAACCGACUUGACUAAUACUAAGUUUAUACAAAGUGGUACUGCAGAAAGGACGUCAGAAAAUGGUGAUUUGUUUAGUAACAAUACAUUUGCACUGUGUACAGUUCAGAGUAAUGAGGGAGUUGUUCUUCUGUUUCACUCAUUUCCAGUACCGCUCAUUGCAACUAUAGGUCUUCAUCCUCAGUGGUGAGGAAGGGGUGGUGAGGCCGGAACAGCGGUAAGGAACUCGUAUAAGCAGUAUGCUUGUACACAUCAGCAGAAGGGCUGUCAAACCAACUCCAAUCCACUCUCUUGCACAAGUCAGUGAUUUGUAUCUCUGGAAAUAGUAUUGCUGUAGUGUAUGUGAAUUGUAGUUUACACAGUUCACAGAAGUUGGCCAUUUCACUAGCGAUGAAAUCAGCUCUGACCCUCUAUGCGGACAUAGCACGAAGAGGAAGAUAAACAGGCUGCAUUUUACAGAAAGCCUCGGGAAAAGUCCUUAAAGAAAGGUUACUAAUUUCCUGUUUUUCCAGUGGUUUACUUUUUAAAACCAAGUUUGAAGAAUUAAUACGUAGUACGCUAGUGAUGGAAAAAGCAAAAUAA